AGAGAUUGAACUGAAGAGUUUGAUCCUGGCUCAGAUUGAACGCUAGCGGCAUGCCUUACACAUGCAAGUCGAACGGCAGCGCGGACUUCGGUCUGGCGGCGAGUGGCGAACGGGUGAGUAA
rnacentral:rRNA from 1 species